rnacentral:rRNA from 1 species
UACAGAGGUCUCAAGCGUUGUUCGGAUUUAUUGGGCGUAAAGGGCGCGUAGGCGGCGGGGUAAGUCGGGUGUGAAAUCUCAGGGCUCAACCCUGAAACUGCACUUGAUACUGCUCUGCUUGAGGACUGGAGAGGAGACUGGAAUUCACGGUGUAGCAGUGAAAUGCGUAGAUAUCGUGAGGAAGACCAGUGGCGAAGGCGGGUCUCUGGACAGUUCCUGACGCUGA